rnacentral:rRNA from 1 species
UAAAACUCAAAUGAAUUGACGGGGGCCCGCACAAGCGGUGGAGCAUGUGGUUUAAUUCGAUGCAACGCGAAGAACCUUACCUGGUCUUGACAUCCACAGAAGUUUCCAGAGAUGGAUUGGUGCCUUCGGGAACUGUGAGACAGGUGCUGCAUGGCUGUCGUCAGCUCGUGUUGUGAAAUGUUGGGUUAAGUCCCGCAACGAGCGCAACCCUUAUCCUUUGUUGCCAGCGGUUAGGCCGGGAACUCAAAGGAGACUGCCAGUGAUAAACUGGAGGAAGGUGGGGAUGACGUCAAGUCAUCAUGGCCCUUACGACCAGGGCUACACACGUGCUACAAUGGCGCAUACAAAGAGAAGCGACCUCGCGAGAGCAAGCGGACCUCAUAAAGUGCGUCGUAGUCCGGAUUGGAGUCUGCAACUCGACUCCAUGAAGUCGGAAUCGCUAGUAAUCGUGGAUCAGAAUGCCACGGUGAAUACGUUCCCGGGCCUUGUACACACCGCCCGUCACACCAUGGGAGUGGGUUGCAAAAGAAGUAGGUAGCUUAACCUUCGGGAGGGCGCUUACCACUUUGUGAUUCAUGACUGGGGUGAAGUCGUAACAAGGUAACCGUAGGGGAACCUGCGGUUGGAUCACCUCCUUACCUUAAAGAAGC